CGCUGAANAGAGGAGCUUGCUCUUCUUGGAUGAGUUGCGAACGGGUGAGUAACGCGUAGGUAACCUGCCUUGUAGCGGGGGAUAACUAUUGGAAACGAUAGCUAAUACCGCAUAACAAUGGAUGACACAUGUCAUUUAUUUGAAAGGGGCAAUUGUUCCACUACAAGAUGGACCUGCGUUGUAUUAGCUAGUAGGUGAGGUAAUGGCUCACCUAGGCGACGAUACAUAGCCGACCUGAGAGGGUGAUCGGCCACACUGGGACUGAGACACGGCCCAGACUCCUACGGGAGGCAGCAGUAGGGAAUCUUCGGCAAUGGGGGCAACCCUGACCGAGCAACGCCGCGUGAGUGAAGAAGGUUUUCGGAUCGUAAAGCUCUGUUGUAAGUCAAGAACGGGUGUGAGAGUGGAAAGUUCACACUGUGACGGUAGCUUACCAGAAAGGGACGGCUAACUACGUGCCAGCAGCCGCGGUAAUACGUAGGUCCCGAGCGUUGUCCGGAUUUAUUGGGCGUAAAGCGAGCGCAGGCGGUUUGAUAAGUCUGAAGUUAAAGGCUGUGGCUCAACCAUAGUUCGCUUUGGAAACUGUCAAACUUGAGUGCAGAAGGGGAGAGUGGAAUUCCAUGUGUAGCGGUGAAAUGCGUAGAUAUAUGGAGGAACACCGGUGGCGAAAGCGGCUCUCUGGUCUGUAACUGACGCUGAGGCUCGAAAGCGUGGGGAGCGAACAGGAUUAGAUACCCUGGUAGUCCACGCCGUAAACGAUGAGUGCUAGGUGUUGGAUCCUUUCCGGGAUUCAGUGCCGCAGCUAACGCAUUAAGCACUCCGCCUGGGGAGUACGACCGCAAGGUUGAAACUCAAAGGAAUUGACGGGGGCCCGCACAAGCGGUGGAGCAUGUGGUUUAAUUCGAAGCAACGCGAAGAACCUUACCAGGUCUUGACAUCCCGAUGCUAUUUCUAGAGAUAGAAAGUUACUUCGGUACAUCGGUGACAGGUGGUGCAUGGUUGUCGUCAGCUCGUGUCGUGAGAUGUUGGGUUAAGUCCCGCAACGAGCGCAACCCCUAUUGUUAGUUGCCAUCAUUCAGUUGGGCACUCUAGCGAGACUGCCGGUAAUAAACCGGAGGAAGGUGGGGAUGACGUCAAAUCAUCAUGCCCCUUAUGACCUGGGCUACACACGUGCUACAAUGGUUGGUACAACGAGUUGCGAGUCGGUGACGGCGAGCUAAUCUCUUAAAGCCAAUCUCAGUUCGGAUUGUAGGCUGCAACUCGCCUACAUGAAGUCGGAAUCGCUAGUAAUCGCGGAUCAGCACGCCGCGGUGAAUACGUUCCCGGGCCUUGUACACACCGCCCGUCACACCACGAGAGUUUGUAACACCCGAAGUCGGUGAGGUAACCUUUNGGAGCCA
rnacentral:rRNA from 2 species